rfam:Spinacia oleracea cultivar SynViroflay scaffold47887.con0001.1, whole genome shotgun sequence.
ACGACCUUACUUGAACAGGAUCUGUUCUAUAGUAUUCGUACCUCUGUAUUCUUGAGUUCUAAGGAGACAGAAAACCAAGUCUGGUGGAUGAAUUAUGACCGUAUGUUCUGAGCGUGAUUAACGGCUACCAGCUGAUCUUCUGAUCUGUGUGUGUGCUGUAGAGGAUCCGUUCCCUUUCUUCCUAUGUGUGAGUUUGGGAUGUUCAUACGGUUGUCUGACAGACU